rnacentral:rRNA from 1 species
GAUGAACGCUGGCGGCGUGCCUAAUACAUGCAAGUCGAGCGAAUGGAUUAAGAGCUUGCUCUUAUGAAGUUAGCGGCGGACGGGUGAGUAACACGUGGUAACCUGCCCAUAAGACUGGGAUGACUCCGGGAAACCGGGGCUAAUACCGGAUAACAUUUUGAACCGCAUGGUUCGAAAUUGAAAGGCGGCUUCGGCUGUCACUUAUGGAUGGACCCGCGUCGCAUUAGCUAGUUGGUGAGGUAACGGCUCACCAAGGCAACGAUGCGUAGCCGACCUGAGAGGGUGAUCGGCCACACUGGGACUGAGACACGGCCCAGACUCCUACGGGAGGCAGCAGUAGGGAAUCUUCCGCAAUGGACGAAAGUCUGACGGAGCAACGCCGCGUGAGUGAUGAAGGCUUUCGGGUCGUAAAACUCUGUUGUUAGGGAAGAACAAGUGCUAGUUGAAUAAGCUGGCACCUUGACGGUACCUAACCAGAAAGCCACGGCUAACUACGUGCCAGCAGCCGCCGUAA